CGCCAGCUGCCCAGGCAGUUCCUAUCCCUUUCGGAGCUCCAGCCUGCCCCUCCUGACGCUCUCAGAGUCUGGCCUUCUGCUGGGCCCCGGGUCUCUCACUGGCAGAAUGGAGUUCUCGGAGCUGAUCCAUACGGGCUGAGCCCAAGCAGAGUUUCUACGGGGCCCGGAGGCGCCCCCGCUUCGCGGCACGGUGUGAGUCACCGUCCACCACCUGCUCCUGUCGCCAGGGCCCGCGUCCUCUCCGGACCUGUGGCUGCUGCUGUUGCGUAGCGUCGACUCCUUCGAGAAGCAGUGAGACGUGGCGGGGUGGGGGAGGGUCCCCGGGGUUGGGGAGCGCGCGGCUUGGCGGAGUAGGGGGCACGGCCAGCGCAGUCAGAGCUGGCGCCCUCCUGCGUAAGCCCAAUCCGGGAAACUCGUUGCCCCUCUCCUGGGAAAGGAACGUCCCUCCCCAGGGUUGCGAGUGACUCGGGCACCAUCACCCUGUGCUGUAAAGACCUGCGAGUGCUGCAGCUGGAAAUAGAGGGCGCGGAAGCGACGCUGGGCAUCGCCCGCUCCAUCGAGACCAACGCGUGGCGGCUGAGCGAGGUGAACGAGGACUUCAGCUUGUGCCCCAGAUACCCCCGUGCGGUGAUCGUGCCAUACUUGGUGGACGAUGAUGCCCUGGCGCGCAGCGCCCGCUUCCGUCAGGGAGGUCGCUUCCCGGUGCUCAGCUACCACCCGGCUCCCAGCGGCAGAGGGAGCGCGCCCUCCCCACGCUCCGCCCCUGGGUGGCUGCGUCCUUUCUGGGCCUUUUCUUUUUGGCCCGGUCAAUUCGCGGCGUAGCCGCUGCCCCAACUCCUGCCCCAUUCUGGUCCCGCCCCUCUCCCGCCUUUUCGCUGGGAAGGGUAUCACCUUUCUCUGGCCCCGCCCCUGACGGUUCCGGGCCCCGCGAAGCUUAGUCCCUUCUUUGUCAAGCCAGGACCCGCCCACGGUCUAUUCAUAGGGUCCCAAACCACUUUGGCCACAACACCCCCAGACUGGUCCGAAGCCUCGUGAGUUCGCCCUGGUCGUUGCACUCCAGCCUGUCGCUGUGCAGACCUGGCUUAGAGGACCCCUAAGGCUGAGGGGUCACUUCCAGAACUGAGUCCGGUCCGCAGGUUCUGCUACGCUCCAGCCAGCCCCUAACUGGUCCCCAGAAGCGGCGCUGCUACAGGGACCAGGAGCUGCUGCGAACUGCGCUGGCGGGGGCUCGUCCUUGGGCGCGGGGCUUCAUCAUGGACACGCUCUCGGCCCAGGCCGCGAAACAAGCCCGCGUGACUGGCGGAGGCACAGAGACCAAGGCCGCUUAACCUGGCUGGUUGCACUGGUCCCUGGAGAGCACUGAGCACAGGGGCUGCCACAGUGGCCGGCUCAGACAUGGCAGAGAUCAGCAGAGAAUGGGCAAUCAGGCUCCCCUGAGAUGAGCAGCAGCGCAGAGGAGGUGCCCCUCUCUUACUACACCAACUUCAGAGGGCGUCCCCUGCAGGAGAGCUUCAUGCGCCUGGUGGAGGCCUGUGGGGACUCGGAGCAAAGCAUGGACAACUGGCUGAGUCGGCUGGACGGCUGCCGCUGACUGUAACAUGUAAAGCAGGCACUGAGCACCACCUGCCUGGCAGUCCAGGGCAUGGAGAGGCACAGACAGCACCCUGCUUGUGACUUCACUGGCCCAACUCAUCCUGGACCCCUUGAGCAAGACCAUGGCUGGAUUCCAGGAACUGGUGGAGUGGAAGUGGAUCCAGGAAAAUGCCGUGUGAAGGGAGGACUCAGAUGCACUCCCUGUGGUCUGGGCUCAACCAGCCAAAAGAGCAACAAAGACUCCAGAACCCACUCUACCUCCUCAAUCCCUUGGCCAUCUGUGGAGCCCCAGAGCCUGCGGCUGUGGCAAGGCCUGUUUCUGCGCUGGACCUGCUCACCUGAGCCUGCAGAAGCUGCAUGGGGGAAGAGUGUGGCAAAUAGUGACAGGAAGGGAGAAGACAGAAGCCUCUCAGCCAACUGCUUCAGCCGAGCCCCUAUUCUAAGCACUGGCUCCUUGGAUAGCAGCUGAGAUGUUCCUGAAACCUCUGCAGGCCCCUUAGGACCUUUACACCUUGGAUGAGGGUGCCUGCAACCCAGGUUAGCCAAAAGUACUGAGGGUCUUAAGUUUGAAGUGUCCAAAGUAUAGGGAGGUCUCAAUAAUAAAAGUCUCCAUGAUCAGCA
rnacentral:lncRNA from 1 species